ACUCUCUACUAAUUGGAAGGUCCCUAGCAAGGAGAAGAGGUCAUUGGAACAAGUAGAACAUUUAUUGUUGCAAGAUCAACAUUCUAGCCAAGUGGGAAAUUGAAGAAAAAGGAUUUUGGCGGAUUUGGAACGUGAAUUUGGAGUCGCAUAAGAAGCAGAAAAGGUACACCAGAUGAGCCACAGCUAUCAUAGAAGAUGUUCCAGCGGAGUUGGCAGGCUCCACUUGUUCUGGAGUGCUGCCGAGUCAGAGUGUCUGAGCCAUGAUGUUUGUUUGAUGUUAGAGACUUUGCAGACAGAGUCGUGGGUAUAGAGUGUCGAUAAUAUGUUGUAUCAUAAAGUCCAUGUGAUUGCAGAUUCUGUUUGACUUGAGUACG